ensembl:lncRNA
AUGGAGAUUGUUGAGAACGAAAAUAUCAAAGUACCAAAUUCAGUCAUAGUAAGUGGGUUAUCCUAUACCCCUGUAGAUGAGGAGAUUUUCGAUUACUUAAAGCAAUGGGGGUCAAUCAGUAGGAUCUUUAAGAUUGAGAAUCCUGAGUCUGAAUAUCACAAACAAGCCAUCAUCGAGUUUAAAUCAGGUGCAACACUGCAGUCACUUGAAACUAUACUGCCGCUAGAUAGACCCACUUCUGAGGACUCCAAUGUCAUACACCACGUAAAAACACUAGCUAGUGUUCACAGCAGCAAACUAGGCACUGAAGUCACUCACACUUUUCUGUCUGAACUUAGAAACAUAGCCAGAUUAAGUGGUGUGUCAUUUGAGGACAUGUUGCGAGGGGAGUUGACAAGGAUUACAGAAACUAUUGGAGCACAGGCCCCAGUGGAGGAAGUAGAGACAGUUCAUGAGCCAACUCCGCCAGUGAGUGAAAGGAUAGAGCCCAUCUUACCUACGACUCAGGCUCAGCCCAGACCCACACCAGCUCAACUGGGACAACAUCAUAACUCCAAUGAAACUCCACUUAACCCUCACUCCACUGGUGAAUUAAGUCAAACUGUUGGUGAAAGACAGUCUUACAUUGAACCAACAGCUACAUUCACUCCAUCUGUUAUGAGGGAUCCCAUGCCUAACUUUACCUUAUCUCCUGAUCACCUCAGCACACCUGAAGUUCAGCGGGUAGUGGUGGAACACAUUGUGAAAAGUGCAGAAAUUUCAUCUCAAUUGCACUCACCGGCCAAAUUGAGGAUUUCCUCAGGAAAAGUCGCUUGCCCGAACUAUGAGGUGGAUUAUGAAACCUGGCGAACCAGUGUUGACUUCUACUUGACUGAUCCCACUGUUUCUCAUUCGCAGUUGGUGAGAAGAAUUGUUGAUAGCCUUUUACCCCCUGCUGCUAAUGUAGUGAAGCCUUUAGAUCGUCAUGCUACUCCACAAGAUUACCUGAGUUUGCUUGACUCUGCAUAUGCAACUGUAGAGGAUGGUGAUGAGUUAUUUGCAAAAUUUCUUAACACUCACCAGAAUUCAGGUGAGAAACCAUCUACCUACCUUCAUAGACUGCAGUCAUCCUUGAGUGCCAUUGUGAAAAGGAGGGCUGUAAGUGCCAGCGAUGCAGACAGACAGCUUCUCAAACAGUUCUGUAGAGGGUGUUGGGACAAUACAGUGAUCGCAACUCUCCAGCUGGAACAGAGACAAAAUAAACCACCCACCUUCUCAGAGUUUUUGUUGUUGUUGCGGACUGAAGAGGAUAAGUGA